CGGCGGACGGGUGAGUAAUGCCUAAGAAUCUGCCUGGUAGUGGGGGACAACGUUUCGAAAGGAACGCUAAUACCGCAUACGUCCUACGGGAGAAAGCAGGGACCUUCGGGCCUUGCGCUAUCAGAUGAGCCUAGGUCGGAUUAGCUAGUUGGUGAGGUAAUGGCUCACCAAGGCGACGAUCCGUAACUGGUCUGAGAGGAUGAUCAGUCACACUGGAACUGAGACACGGUCCAGACUCCUACGGGAGGCAGCAGUC
rnacentral:rRNA from 1 species